AUUGAACGCUGGCGGCAGGCCUAACACAUGCAAGUCGAGCGAGCGGCGGACGGGUGAGUAAUGUAUGGGGACUGCCCGAUAGAGGGGGAUAACUACUGGAAACGGUAGCUAAUACCGCAUACUAUCGGAUGACCCAUAUGGGAUUAGCUAGUCGGUGAGGUAAUGGCUCACCUAGGCGACGAUCCCUAGCUGGUCUGAUAGGAUGCUCAGCCACCAUGGGACUGAGACACGCCCCAGCAUCCUACGGAGGCAGCAUUGGGGAAUAUUGCACAAUGUGCGCAAGCCGUAUGCAGCCAUGCCGCGUGUAUGAAGAAGUCCCUAGGGUUGUAAAGUACUUUCAGUCGGGAGGCGUUACCGACAGAAGAAGCACCGGCUAACUCCGUGCCAGCAGCCGCGGUAAUAC
rnacentral:rRNA from 1 species